UAUCAUCUUCCUUAAGAACUAUUUAUUCAAAUAUUUUACUCAUUUUUAAUUAUUGUAUAUCACAUGAUGUAUUCAUAAGAUGUGGUAGGCAUGAAAAUUAAACUAUAAUAGUGACAACAAACAACAGUAACCAAUUAUUACCAAUUAUUAUAUUGGUGCUCAUUUAGAAGAAAAAUAAAAUGCAAUCGGUGCUGGCACGUAUAGCAACAUCUAGGAGCUUUUGGUCGGUGCAACCAACUAAAAAAGUAAUCCACACCGAGAGCUAUCUCCCACUGCGUGCCUUAUCCACGUCGCCUCUUCUCCCUGCUCCAGCCACACACACACACCCACGCGAUCGUGCUCCAGUCCACGGCGCCGCGUUUCCCUUCUCUCUUCCCUCCUCUCUACAAUCCUCCAAGCUUUCGUCGGCCACUUGCGGGGCGGCUGCGUAUGGGCUCCAGGUGGCCGGGGCUACGCGCGGGGGCAGGCUGGGGCUGUGGCGGAGGCGCGGCAGCGGUGGCCGGCGGCUGCUUGAAGGGGCCGCGUGGAUCUGCCGCCGGGGCUUCGAAUCGGCGUGGUCGUCUGAGCCCUAAGUUUUCGACGCCGAGAGCUUGGCGAUCCAGAGGGUGCUGGUCUCCGUCGGUGGACAUUCGAUGACAAAUGAAAAAAACAGAGGCAACCAAUUCAGCGAGGCCGGCCACCCAGCAAAACGCACCAAAGAACCAAUUCUUUCUUUACCAGAGAAGAAGAAGGCGAGGCCCAAUCUCAGCUGCUGUCCGUCCUUACCUGCCUACAUCCGGCGGGCCGAUGGGGGGCCGGACCUGAGGCGACAUGGCCCUCCCAAGAGAGAAGCAGGCGUUGGCGCUGUGCAGGCCGUCCAUGGCGAUGGAGACGCCCGGACAGGAAGGGCUCAAUCCGGAUGAACCAGCCCGCACCGAGCCCGGCCGCCUCAACAAGAGCUCGUCUCUCUGCUUGCCUGCGGCUCACCGGAGCCGCCAUCGCCGGCGACCGCCUCCCUCACCUUGUGCCCCUUCUCCUUCGCCUUUCUUCCUCUCUUCCCCGAGGAGCGGGGAGCCGACGAAUCCGUCGGUCAGGAGCUGGGCGGCGCCCUCCAUCAUCGUGGCCGUUUGGGGAGGGACGCGGUCCUGGUCGAUGCGGUGUGGGGCGGGCGACGUAGGGCAAGAGGUGGCGGCGGGAUGGAGGUACAUGCGAUGGGGCACCGGCAAACAGAGGCGGGCGGCGGAGGUGCUGCAGGAGCGGCGCUCGACCGCGAGGUGAGGAGGAGGAGCAGAGGAAGGGGAGGCUGGAGGUGAUCCUCGCUGACGAUGGUGGGACUCAGGCAUGAGCAGGAGGAUGAGAGGAAACGGGACAGCGGCCUGCUGGUGGCUGUCGGCGACGCCGGGUGGCGAGGGGUUGUCGGAGCGGCGUCGUGGACGCCGGCGCCAAGCGGCGGCGAGUGGCCGUCGGUGGAGUCUUGGAAUGGAUAAGGAAUAUAAGGACUGACUGCAGACUGCGGGCUAAAUUCUAACUAAUGCAGGGGCUCUUUUGCAACAAUGAAACGUUUUUUUAGGAA